rnacentral:rRNA from 1 species
UAGCUACAGGCUUAACACAUGCAAGUCGAGGGGAAACGACAUCGAAAGCUUGCUUUUGAUGGGCGUCGACCGGCGCACGGGUGAGUAACGCGUAUCCAACCUGCCCACCACUUGGGGAUAACCUUGCGAAAGUAAGACUAAUACCCAAUGACGUCUCUAGAAGACAUCUGAAAGAGAUUAAAGAUUUAUCGGUGAUGGAUGGGGAUGCGUCUGAUUAGCUUGUUGGCGGGGUAACGGCCCACCAAGGCGACGAUCAGUAGGGGUUCUGAGAGGAAGGUCCCCCACAUUGGAACUGAGACACGGUCCAAACUCCUACGGGAGGCAGCAGUGAGGAAUAUUGGUCAAUGGACGAGAGUCUGAACCAGCCAAGUAGCGUGCAGGAUGACGGCCCUAUGGGUUGUAAACUGCUUUUAUAAGGGAAUAAAGUGAGUCUCGUGAGACUUUUUGCAUGUACCUUAUGAAUAAGGACCGGCUAAUUCCGUGCCAGCAGCCGCGGUAAUACGGAAGGUCCGGGCGUUAUCCGGAUUUAUUGGGUUUAAAGGGAGCGUAGGCCGGAGAUUAAGCGUGUUGUGAAAUGUAGACGCUCAACGUCUGCACUGCAGCGCGAACUGGUUUCCUUGAGUACGCACAAAGUGGGCGGAAUUCGUGGUGUAGCGGUGAAAUGCUUAGAUAUCACGAAGAGCUCCGAUUGCGAAGGCAGCUCACUGGAGCGCAACUGACGCUGAAGCUCGAAAGUGCGGGUAUCGAACAGGAUUAGAUACCCUGGUAGUCCGCACGGUAAACGAUGGAUGCCCGCUGUUGGUCUGAAUAGGUCAGCGGCCAAGCGAAAGCAUUAAGCAUCCCACCUGGGGAGUACGCCGGCAACGGUGAAACUCAAAGGAAUUGACGGGGGCCCGCACAAGCGGAGGAACAUGUGGUUUAAUUCGAUGAUACGCGAGGAACCUUACCCGGGCUUGAAUUGCAGAGGAAGGAUUUGGAGACAAUGACGCCCUUCGGGGCCUCUGUGAAGGUGCUGCAUGGUUGUCGUCAGCUCGUGCCGUGAGGUGUCGGCUUAAGUGCCAUAACGAGCGCAACCCCUCUCCUUAGUUGCCAUCAGGUCAAGCUGGGCACUCAGGGGACACUGCCACCGUAAGGUGUGAGGAAGGUGGGGA